rnacentral:rRNA from 1 species
UGGGGAAUAUUGGACAAUGGGGGCAACCCUGAUCCAGCCAUGCCGCGUGUGUGAAGAAGGCCUUUUGGUUGUAAAGCACUUUAAGCAGUGAAGAAGACUCCAUGGUUAAUACCCAUGGACGAUGACAUUAGCUGCAGAAUAAGCACCGGCUAACUCUGUGCCAGCAGCCGCGGUAAUACAGAGGGUGCAAGCGUUAAUCGGAAUUACUGGGCGUAAAGCGAGCGUAGGUGGCUUGAUAAGUCAGAUGUGAAAGCCCCGGGCUUAACCUGGGAAAGGCAUCAGAUACUGGUAGGCUAGAGUAGGUGAGAGGAAGGUAGAAUUCCAGGUGUAGCGGUGAAAUGCGUAGAGAUCUGGAGGAAUACCGAUGGCGAAGGCAGCCUUCUGGCAUCAUACUGGCACUGAGGUUCGAAAGCGUGGGUAGC